CGUUGAUGUUUAUCUUCCAGCAUGUCGUGUCUCUCUUUAAUAGCGUAGGACUGGUGUAGAUUGUAUCACCUUUCUAAAAGUCACAGGCAGUAAAACGCAUUUCUGUGUGGAAACUGAAGAGUUGACCCAUCUUGUACGGGGGAACCAGAAAGAUGGACUAUCUUUACCAUAUUCCAGGACUACUUCUCCUUGUUAUUCUGGCAGAAGUUCAGGAAAGUCACAACUCAACCAUCAUUCCAUCGACAAAACCAAUCAAGUCAACUACUUGCACAAAUUCACCAUUCAGCAUUGACAGGACAAUGUUUUUUUCUGCCACCAUAGGCUUUCUCAUCAUUAUAAUCAUAGUGCUUGUUGCCAUUUUACUCAGAAGAAAACUUGCAGAGCAUACUGGCAUUACAUCCAAUUCCCUUAAAGAGGGGAACAAUAUACAGAUGAUGUACAUGAAAAGCGUAGAGUCUCCUUCAGAAGAAGAUGCUGCCUGCAGCCUCCCCGCAGAAGGCAGCAGGACUGAGCAUGAUGAUGAUUCAAGUGACGACUCUUCAUCCACCAGUUCAGAAAGCUCAGGCGCUUCUGUGGAUCUCCCAUUUAAGGAUGAUUACGUAAACCUAUCCCAGGGUGGGAUAGGGGCAUGCCCCACCAGUUUACUUGGAGUUCAAGACUACGUGAAUGUUGUGCCCAGGCACUCCAGUGAUAGUAUGGACAAGGACGACGAUGAUGCACCAAAAGACACUGCAACAUCUGUCGAAAGUGAUAGUGAGGACAGCGAGGAUAACGAACUCAACUAUACAACAGUUGUUUUCAACUAAGACAAAAGGGCCAAGUGUUUACAUACAUUUCCCAAAGCUUCACAGGUCACACACUGAAAGAACUUGGCCCUUAUGUAUACUGGGUGCAUUUCGUUCAUGGCAGUCUUACAAAGCCUGCAAGAAAGAUAUGGUCUGCAUUUCUUUUUCUGAAGAAUUUAAGUACCUCAAAAAUGUCUGUAAGUGAUAGCCAUAAGAAAAGGUAACAAACUUGAAUACAUGCAUUUUGUACAGAGUAUGAGAUGAUGACAUCUUUGUAAAAGUUUUGUUUGGUUAAUGUGAAAAAGAACAUAUUUACUGUAAUGACACUUAUUGCAAUAAUACUACCUGGCUCAUUAAAAUGCAUCUACUGUCUGUUUUUUUUAGCUAGUUAUGAGCUGGUUCAACUUUCUUGCAAACGUUUCACUGAUGUGUAUCAUGACUGAAAGAACCUAGCCUAAAUGUGCCCAUCUAGAUUCCAGAGUCAGAUAAUGUUUUGGACAUAAAUCCAAAUAAAAACCAAACUGCAUAAAUCCA
rnacentral:lncRNA from 1 species